rnacentral:rRNA from 1 species
UACGUAGGGUCCGAGCGUUGUCCGGAAUUAUUGGGCGUAAAGGGCUCGUAGGCGGUUCGUCGCGUCGGGAGUGAAAACUCGGAGCUCAACUCCGAGCCUGCUUCCGAUACGGGCAGACUAGAGGUAGGCAGGGGAGAGCGGAACUCCUGGUGUAGCGGUGGAAUGCGCAGAUAUCAGGAAGAACACCGGUGGCGAAGGCGGGUCUCUGGGCAACAACUGACGCUGGAGGAGCGAAAGCGUGGGGAGCGAACAGG